CAGCUUACGAGCCACCUAAAACAAGUGUCCAACCGAUUUCCCAAGAUACUGUAAUUUCAAUUCCAAAUCAUACUGGAGUUGGAAAAUGUCCAAUUUGUGACGUGCAUGGAUAUAUAAAGAUGGAGCGAGCUGUGUCCCAACAGCAACAUCUGCUAGCGGUGAUAGGACUUUUUUGCGGACUCUGCUGUAUUCCAUAUUGCAUUUCUUCAUUAAAAUAUACUAGAUACAAAUGUCUUUCAUGUGGGUAUACGACAAAAGAUCAUGGCAAAAACGUUGCACUAAAAAUUUUACUGUCGAUUAUCAUCACGAUCUUGUUGAUUAUUUCCAUUCUUAUCUUUGUGCGAAUGUUAAACGCUGAAGAAGAUAAUGAAAAUUAAAACGAACAAUGGAAUUUGGCUCUCAUAUCUUUCUACAUAUAUACAUAAAUACUACCACCCAGCUGUUGUUAAAGAGAUGAAAUGCCAUGCCAUACUUUUGCUAAACAUUACUUCUCGUGGUGCCAUAAAGUCGAGGUCGUCCAUUCAACACAUCCUGCGCAUAAGCAAAAUGUACUGAGCGUUAUAUUUACUCACAGAUGAUAACUUUCCGUACACAGGAAUAGUAUAUCGUAAUAGCAUAUCAGAGAAAACUGCAUUUGUGAAUUUACUCUCCUUUUUAUUUUUCAUUUCUUCAGACCAAUAAAGAAAUAAUUAUAGUAGUAAAACAAAAGAAGGAAAAACUGUAGAAUAAAGAUUUCUUACGGCUUAGCUAAAAACAACCACAACAGAAUGUGUUUUCCUUUGUCAGCACUACCAAAGGUGAAUUAUUUUUGUUGCUGCUUUAAUUUGAAAACUGGAACAAUAAUAAUAGGAGUGUUACAAUCAUUGGCGAUUCUGAAUGUGCUAGCAUAUUGUUUAAAUGAUCAGACUGUAUUGAAUGAAGCCUCGCAUAAAAAUCCAUCACUUGAAAUACUAGGAUGUGUAAUAUUGUCCGGACUAGGAAUACUUCUCCUUAUUGGCAUAUUGAAACGAAUGCCAAUUUUAAUAAGAACUUAUAUGUGGACCUUUUUAACAUUUAAAACAAUCGUUUUUGUUCUCAUUGCAUUUUUGCUGUUUUUCGAUACUUUUCACGGUUUCAUCUUACUUAUUAUGUUCCUGUUUAAUAGCUAUUUCCUAUUGACCGUCAACACGUAUUAUCUGCAACUCUCAGAUGAACAACAACACUGUGAGCCUUUGCAAAGCUCUGAGGUUUCUAAGGAAAUGGUGCCAUAAGAAAAUACUUUACAUAGAAGUGUGAGACAAUACACAAGGCGCUUUACGAAUUAAUAUGUGUAAAAACUCGGAAAAAUAUGGUUUCGAAUGUCGAUGAUUGUUUCCUGCUUCAUAAUAAAUAUAUAAAUGUGAAUAUUUACUAACAAAAUAUUAUAUUCUACAUUUUUUAAGUGUCUUGCAAAAUACUAAUAUAUUAUAACUCUAAAUUCCAUUGUAGCAUUUGAUAAAGGAAAUCA